GACGAACGCUGGCGGCGUGCUUAACACAUGCAAGUCGAACGGUGAUGCUCCAGCUUGCUGGAGUGGAUCAGUGGCGAACGGGUGAGUAACACGUGAGCAACCUGCCCCAGACUCUGGAAUAAGCGCUGGAAACGGCGUCUAAUACUGGAUACGAAACUGGCCCGCAUGGGCAUGGUUUGGAAAGUUUUUCGGUUUGGGAUGGGCUCGCGGCCUAUCAGCUUGUUGGUGAGGUAAUGGCUCACCAAGGCGACGACGGGUAGCCGGCCUGAGAGGGCGACCGGCCACACUGGGACUGAGACACGGCCCAGACUCCUCCGGGAGGCAGCAGUGGGGAAUACUGCACAAUGGGCUAAAGCCUGAUGCAGCGACGCCGCGUGAGGGAUGACGGCCUUCGGGUUGUAAACCUCUUUCAGCAGGGAAGAAGCGAAAGUGACGUUACCUGCAGAAGAAGCACCGGCUAACUACGUG
rnacentral:rRNA from 1 species